rnacentral:lncRNA from 10 species
CAUUUGCAUUCACCAAAAGUGCACUCCUCCAUUUAUUAACUAUUUUAUUAGUAAAUAAAGUACUGUAUUUAAGUGCAUAUGUUAGUCAGAUGGGAACAAUAACUUUUUGGAGCUCAAAGCAUGUUCUCUUAUUCAGCAUUAUGGCCUAUUUGACUAAGAUGUACCUUGAAUUAAUUAAUGCAUGAUUUCAGUAAUAAAAAUUUUAAAAGUAAUAAAAAUUACAAGUCUGUGGGGUGAAAGGCCCAAUAGAAAUUAUGGGGGGUGGGGGUGGGGGCACUCAGUCAAUUUUCCUGCCUUUGCUCAGGGAAAUACCAGGUUUUUGUGCAGGUAUAGGCGGAGAGAGGACCAAUAUGCCCAUCCCUUAAAGGGAAGCCAUGUGAAAAACUCAAUAAGUCAUCAAAGUACAUAUAGCAACACCUAAGAACAAGUAUUCUUUCUAGCUGAAGACAAACACAAGCAACACAAACAAGCAAACAAACAAACAAACAAAAAGGUGCAAUACUGCAUGUUUUUUGGUGCAUUCUUAGGAUGUAAAUGAAAAUGUUUCUCUAUUAUAUGCAUCCGAAGCAGAGCUGAUUUUUUUUUCUUUGCAGUCAUUCUUUGAAGUCUGUAGAGACUUCAGCCCUCCCCUUGAGGCUCCCUGAAGAAACUAAACCAAUUGAUUUAAUAGUUGCUUAGUGCCUUUAUCCUGUACCCACAGUGAACUGUAGAAAGUGCCUCCUUAACACAGCUGAGAAGUUAGGUAGCAAAAGUGGGGAAGGGUUGGGGCACAGACCUUUUGCUUUUUCUUUUUCCAUUCUCGCUCUCUCAUUUCACCACUGUGAGAAGACCACACCACCCUAAACCCUGGAGAGGAGAGACCCAGGAGGGUGCUGUCUCUCUGGCCAUCUACUAGCAUUGGUCCCUUUGACAGCCUGACGCUGGAUGUGAACUGAGACCCAUCUUUGAACUGGACAUGAACUGUGAACUUGUUUUUUCCUCUCUCCACCAAAGCCAAGAUAAACUUUUUGGGAAUUUGUUUCCUAUCGAGGGCCACUUUGGACACACAAGGCUUCCUCAGGUCCAGUGUAGUGCUCCUGGCACCUUUCCUUAUUUUUUUCUCUGUCGGUAACAGCACUUUGCAAAUCUCUCUGACGGUCCAGUCUUUUCAGGCAUUGUUGUGGAUGUGGGAACACUCAGUUCAUAAUAACCUUUCCUAGGCCUUCCCUCCUGGUCUACCCCUUUCAGAUAUUUCCUGAUGCCCCUAUGAUCUUCCCACCUGGCAGUCACUUCACAGGUUGAACAUCUAACUUCUGCUGCCCCCCCGUUACCCAGCCCAGAGAAUGGUGGGGACCCUGUUCCUGGCUGAAAGAGAGCCACGGAACACAGGCCUCUGGAGCUCGGCAGCUGCCCACCGGUGGAGAGGUACUCACAGCCUUUCAAAGGACCCUGAGGUGGGGAAUCUUCAUUCUGCACUUAGCAUGUGGCUGCCUGUUACCUGACAUUCUGGCCCAGCUUCUUCUGAAAAUCUGUCCUGCUUCUCCCACCCCUUUCCCCCAUCCUGUCCUAGAACUAGCAGUGAGGCAAUCACCCUAGAAACUCGAGUUACACCCAUUCUGGCUAACUCGAUUAAAAGAAAGAACAUGGAUAUCUUAUUUUCCUAUGUGACUUUUGUGAAUCUGUGAGAUGAACACAACACACAUCGUGGAAGAUGAGGGGCCAAGAACUGCGCAGCAUCCGACUACAGGGCAUUAAACCCUCCCAUGUGAUGUCUCCUUCUCGUCUGAACCUUAACUCAUUCUGGCGAUUCCUUUCCUACUUGCUUAAAAAUCCCCAAUUAGGAAAAAAAUGCCAACCUCCUCCCAGGCUUGGGGUUAUCUUGAUCUUUCAUUUCAACGUUGAGGUCUAGUGCACACAGAACUUGAAACACCGCACUCUGUCAACAGCAAUAAUCCACUCAGUACUGUGGGAUGGAUGGGUUAAUGGAUGAGAAAACGGCACCAAGACUGACUUUGGGUAUUUGGUAUAUUUACCGUGGUUACACUCUGGACUGGUUGAUUCUUCUGCAUGUGAUAUAGAAAAAAGUGCUGCAUGCGGUGAACCUGUCAGUCUGGGACUGGGGGUGAGUUGUUGUUAUGAGUUUGGGGUGGUGUGAGGAAAGUGAAUGCUGCUUAGCUCAUCUGUAGCUCAUUGCAAUGAAUUCAGUAAGAAUGGAGUACAGGGAUUAUCUGUGUAGCAUAGGCAUGCAAUGUUUGACCAAGCUCUUACCCUCGCACUGUAAUGUGUUGAAAUGUCUUUGUAGACCUGAAGGUGCACUUAACAAAACUGCCUAUUAAGGGAUGACUAUUUUUUGGUUUACUUAUUCAUAUUUAUUUUAGCAGCCUUUUUACCUUUUCUUCCCCUUCCUAGGCAUGGAGCUGUAACAGCUCAUGUCCUGACUAUGUGUUUUCUCCAGAAGGAGAAGACUUCUGAUGUGCUGAUAGCUAUAAUUCCUCUCUUCCAGUCUAUUGGGGCCCUAGUUCAAUAGGGUGGCAAUAGAAGAGUUGGUCACACCAGGGCUGUUAGCCAUCCCAGAAUCUCUGAAGUGGUUAACUCACCUGAAGUGAUCUGAAUCAGAGAGACCAAAGACAUUCAUUUCCUCUGUCCUCAGAUUUCUAGAAGACAAAUUCUAGCCAGGAAAACUUUCUGUUUUUGCAUCUCCCUUUUCCCAUUUGUGCCCAACUCCCCUUGCACUCCCUGGAGACUUGAGUUCUGAUUUUCAGUUAUAUCAGCUCAUUGGGAGUGUGUUCGUGGGUGAGCCUUGCAGAAUCAGAUAAACCAAUAGCAAGUCCUUCUCCAGGAUUCUGGCCAGUGGGCAGUCAUUUCCCUGAAAUGAAUUGUAGGGCAGGUUUAGAUUCCACUAUGGUGGACGUGAAGCACAGGUGGUGUCACAAUCUUGAUUUGCUUGAGAAUUAAAAAAAUACAUGUAAAUGGUAAAUGAGGAAUACAUUUUUUUAAAGUAGAAAUUUGGUUUAGCCUAUAAAAGGCCUUCUUCACAUUGUGUAUAGUUACACGUUUUUCAAAUUAGGUACCAUCUAAAAGUCAAUAAAAAUAGUUUCCUAGCCCUCUCAUUUAAUAUAGGAGACCUCAAAACACAUGCUUUUUAACAAUUUUACAUUUUAAUUCUUAGUUUGGUAGAUUGGAUUGAAAGAAAGGAGAAAGAACAUUAGCAGAAGGCACUUUCCCAUUUUCUUCCAGGAAUGACUUAUUCCUGGGGUGGUGAGAAUUGGUGGGUGGUAACCAUCCAUAGUAUAAAAUUGUUAGAAAGAAUAUAAACUGCCAAACAAGCAUGUUAUCUUCAGGCUUUUCCAAGCAAGAAUGAAGUCUUUUGAUGUUUAUGUUCAUUUUAAGAAGACAAACAAACUAAAAUUUUAAGACCAGACACAACCCAAGUUGAAUUGUGAUCUCAGGAGGUGAACUCUCAUUCACCAUGUGGCAUAUUACUACCUGUAUUUAUAUCAUGGAAUUUCAGGGUAUAUGUGAACAUGUCUAGUAUGACUCAGGUAAACCUUUAAAGAAUGUAUGUUACUUACCAUUUUUGUAAAGAAGCAAACAGGAGCUGAAUUGUUAACCAAAACUGUUCCAUUACCUUGGGUCACUGUGCAAACUAAUUCAGGGUACAGAUAUAAAGUUUAGAAGCCUUGGGAUUAAAUGCCAGCCUCUUUGCUCAGGCAAAAUGACCCUGGGCUUUCUUGGGAAGUCCAGCAUGUAUGUAAGGGGUGAGGCCCUGCUGACCUCAGGGCUUUUCGCUUUAAGGAGAUUAACCCUAGUCACAGUGAUUUUCAUUUAGGAGCUAACUAGGAGUUUACUCUUUAUGACGUGAAACUUCAAAGAGUAUAGAAAACUUUUGUACCACAAUCAAAGAAGAAGAAAUGGUGUAUGGAAAGAAAACAAAACAAAACAAGAAAUCUCUUGUAAAAUAUUCCAGGUCAAAGUUGUCUCCUCUCCAAACCUUGCAGAAGCACCUUUCUUCUCUUCAGCGCACUGUUUUGGGACUGUUUAUGCAGCAGAUGUAAGUAGACAACAUGGACUCCAUGUGACAUGCCUCUAAUAGUAAAGAUAAAGUAUUACUGAGGUUAAAAAUAAAAAUUGAGUAGUAUUAAUUUAAAGUGCACCAUCAGGACAACAAACCAUUUAAGCUGAAAAAACGCUAUUUUAUUUCUUGAGUUUGCCAGUUGCUUCCACCUUGAGUUAAGGACGUGUCUCAUCUUCACCUACUGCGCAUUCUCCCUUCUCUAACUGUGUAAUAUGUCAGGUCAAGGACAUUGAAUGUUAUGAAUUGAGAACCUAAUUGAUGCGCAUAGUUUUCAUCUAUGCAAUUUUACUUGCUUCUGUCACUUUACGAUCUGUUCAUAUUUGGCAUCAAUUAAAGAUACUUUUUAAGGAUCUU